rnacentral:rRNA from 1 species
UACGGGGGGGGCAAGCGGUUGUUCGGAAUUACUGGGCGUAAAGGGCUCGUAGGCGGCCAACUAAGUCAGACGUGAAAUCCCUCGGCUUAACCGGGGAACUGCAUCUGAUACUGGAUGGCUUGAGUUCGGGAGAGGGAUGCGGAAUUCCAGGUGUAGCGGUGAAAUGCGUAGAUAUCUGGAGGAACACCGGUGGCGAAGGCGGCGAUCCUGGACCGACACUGACGCUGAGGAGCGAAAGCCAGGGGAGCAAACGGGG